GUGCUUGCUUCAGCAGUACAGAUAUAAAAAUCGAAAUGAUACAGAGAAGAUAAGCAUGACCCCUAGGUGAGGGUGAUAUGCAAAUUCAUAAAGCAUGCCGUAUUAAA
rnacentral:snRNA from 1 species